AUUAACCCUAUUUGUGAAAUCCCGGAUUGUGUGACUAGGAUUACCGGCACCUGAUCAGGAGCACCCAGGGGUUUGGAAUCUCUGUUAUUGCGGGACAACAGGAAAGGGUAAGUCAGUGGCUGAUCAACCAUGAGUUUGAGGAGCAAGACGAAGAAUGUACAUGUUCAAGCCAUAUCAGACCAAGCGGGUUAAGGGUCUAUCAGUGAUGAACUUUUGAAUUCUAUUUUGUCGUUUAGGUCGGCUAGAAAGAAAUGACUUGUAAUAGCGUUUGUAAAUAUUUUUGGGAUCCCAACUAUUUUAAAAGUUUAAAUAUAUUACAAGUUUAUUUUCA